rnacentral:lncRNA from 1 species
UAGAGGUUAUUUGUCCUUAUUUUACACAGCAGAAAGCCAAGACUCAGAGAGGUAAAGCGACUUGCCCAGGAUCACACAGCUAAGGUGGGCAGGAUGGUGGCCUCACCUGAUGCAGUGCACACCUCCAACAGGCAUCAGAUGGAAUGCACUGGGAGCAAGAUUCUCAUAGCAAUGACAAAGAUCCCCAACACCGUCCACCACGCAGCCCAUUUGCCUCUGGACGCGUGGCCUUGAGCCUGGCCCCUCGAGUUUAUCCCAGCGCUUGGUGACGAGACCCCACAUACUGCACAGGAGGACAGGCAGAGGGUCAGCCAGAGCGUGGGAUGUGGAAGUGCCACCUCCCUUUGCAGGCUGUGUGUCUUCGGGGUCUGGCUCUGUUGCCCAGGCUGGAGUGCAGUG